UGGGGAAUUUUGGACAAUGGGCGAAAGCCUGAUCCAGCAAUGCCGCGUGUGUGAAGAAGGCCUUCGGGUUGUAAAGCACUUUUGUCCGGAAAGAAAUCCUUGGCUCUAAUACAGUCGGGGGAUGACGGUACCGGAAGAAUAAGCACCGGCUAACUACGUGCCAGCAGCCGCGGUAAUACGUAGGGUGCAAGCGUUAAUCGGAAUUACUGGGCGUAAAGCGUGCGCAGGCGGUUUGCUAAGACCGAUGUGAAAUCCCCGGGCUCAACCUGGGAACCGCAUUGGUGACUGGCAGGCUAGAGUAUGGCAGAGGGGGGUAGAAUUCCACGUGUAGCAGUGAAAUGCGUAGAGAUGUGGAGGGAAUACCGAUGGCGAAGGCAGCCCCCUGGGCCAAUACUGACGCUCAUGCACGAAAGCGUGGGGAGCAAACAGGAUUAGAUACCCUGGUAGUCCACGCCCUAAACGAUGUCAACUAGUUGUUGGGGA
rnacentral:rRNA from 1 species